rnacentral:rRNA from 1 species
CCAGCACCUCAAGUGGUCAGGAUGAUUAUUGGGCCUAAAGCAUCCGUAGCCGGCGCUGUAAGUUUUCGGUUAAAUCUGUACGCUCAACGUACAGGCUGCCGGGAAUACUGCAGCGCUAGGGAGUGGGAGAGGUAGACGGUACUCGGUAGGAAGGGGUAAAAUCCUUUGAUCUAUUGAUGACCACCUGUGGCGAAGGCGGUCUACCAGAACACGUCCGACGGUGAGGGAUGAAAGCUGGGGGAGCAAACCGGAUUAGAUACCCGAGUAGUCC